rnacentral:rRNA from 1 species
AGGUAACCUACCCUUCGGACGGGCACAACCCCGGGAAACUGGGGCUAAUUCCCGAUAGGUACCCCCUUCUGGAAUGUGGGGAUAUCCAAAGCUCCGGCGCCGAAGGAUGGGCCUGCGGCCGAUUAGGUUGUUGGCGGGGUAACAGCCCACCAAGCCGACGAUCGGUACGGGCAGUGAGAGCUGUAGCCCGGAGAUGGGGACUGAGACAAGGCCCCAGGCCCUACGGGGCGCAGCAGGCGCGAAACCUUCACAAUGCACGAAAGUGUGAUGAGGGUACUCCGAGUGCGCAUACAUUGUAUGUGCCUUUCUGCAGCGUAAAUAGUUGCAGGAAUAAGGGCUGGGCAAGACCGGUGCCAGCCGCCGCGGUAACACCGGCAGCCCUAGUGGUGGCCGCUUUUAUUGGGCCUAAAGCGUCCGUAGCCGGACAGGCGAGUCUUUGGGUAAAUCCUACGUCUUAAGCGUGGGAAUUCUAAAGAUACUACCUGUCUUGAGGCCGGGAGAGGCUGGAGGUACUCCUGGGGUAGGGGUAAAAUCCUAUAAUCCUGGGGGGACCACCGAUGGCGAAGGCAUCCAGCUGGAACGGGCCUGACGGUGAGGGACGAAACCCAGGGGAGCGAGCCGGAUUAGAUACCCGGGUAGUCCUGGGCGUAAAUGAUGUGGGCUUGGUGUGAGCGCAUCGACGAGGUGCGCUUGUGCCGUAGGGAAGCCGUUAAGCCCACCGCCUGGGGAGUACGGUUGCAAGGCUGAAACUUAA